UGUGCAGUAAUAAUGCCUCAUAAAUAUCGAACAGCACGUUUCACUUAGUGUGGGACAAUACCGACGAGAAUUGGCCACACCAGCUCGUCAUCGCCUUCUCACAAGGGAAGUGUAACAUUUGCUGCGCUAUAUCGAUUCCAUACAUGAAAGUGUAACCUUGGCUCGGUUUCUCUAACUUCACCAUCGGUCUCGUGUGAUCCAAUCCAAAUGGUCGGAAAUUUUCUUACGAAAAUUAAUGGUUCGCGGAGAGAAGCGACAAUUCUCUGUGGACUUCUCUACGAGUUUUCUGGCGCUACGGAAUUACUAGUUUUACUAAGGCACACUUCACACUUGAAAUAUGCUGUGGAAGCUGAUGGAUGCUUCAAUAGCGUCUUCAACCAGCCACGCAUUGCUCCUGGAGCC
rnacentral:sRNA from 1 species